GACAGAGGGUGCAAACGUUGUUCGGAAUUACUGGGCGUAAAGCGCGUGUAGGCUGCCCUGCAAGUCGGAUGUGAAAGCCCUGGGCUCAACCUAGGAAGUGCAUUCGAAACUGCAGGGCUGGAGUCCUGGAGAGGAAGGCGGAAUUCUCGGUGUAGAGGUGAAAUUCGUAGAUAUCUGGAGGAACACCGGUGGCGAAGGCGGCAUCCUGGACCGGCAUUGACGCUGAGGCGCGAAAGCCAGGGGAGCAAACGGG
rnacentral:rRNA from 1 species